CGAAGAUGGUGGCGCGCGCGGCGUGUGGCUCCCGUCGUCUGCCGAAGUCUCAAUUCAGCACACUGGCCGGCGACUCGCUGGUCUGGAGCCCCCGCCCGCCAGGUGCCUGACCCCGCGCCCAUCGACGCCGGAUUCCCGACAUGCCCCGCGCCCGAAAGGGCAGUGCACCCCGCAGAGGCCAGCGCCGCGGAGGAGGUGCCCGGAGCAAUACCCAGGCUGAGUCAGGCUCCAGCGAGGAUGAGGCAGCCAGUGAGGCCCGCAGCAACACCAGUGAAUGCCCCAGCCUCGUUAGCACCGCAGCAGAGGAAAGCCUUGGGGGGGAUGCCGUGGAUGAGCAGGGUCAGCAGGAAGACCUUGAGGAGAAGUUGAAGGAGUAUGUGGACUGCCUCACAGACAAGAGACCUCCUUUAUCCGUCAGUUUCAAGACCCGGCAGAGUGCUCUUGAGAGCCUGCGCCUGGCCCUGGCGGCCCACCUACUCCCCGACUUCGUGCUGGAGCGCCGCCUCACACUGGCCGAUGCCUUGGAAAAGUGCCUCAAGAAAGGGAAGGAUGAGGAACAGGCCUUGGCUGCUGCCGUACUAGGCCUGCUGUGUGUGCAGCUGGGCCCUGGACCCAAGGGUGAGGAGUUAUUCCACAGCCUGCAACCCCUGCUGGUCUCUGUGCUCAGUGAUGGCACAGCUAGUCCUGCUGCCCGGCUCCACUGUGCUUCUGCUCUUGGCUUGGGCUGCUACGUAGCUGCUGGCGAUAUACAGGACUUGGUCUCUUGCCUCACCUGCUUGGAAGGUGUUUUCAGCCGUUUCUGUGGUGUGGGUGGCCCCACAGCCCCUGUGGUCCCUGUCAGCCUGCAUGGCCUGCUCUGUGCUGCCCUGCAGGCCUGGGCAUUGCUCCUCACCAUCUGCCCCAGCACCCACAUCCGCCACAUCCUGGACAGGCAGCUGCCUCGGCUGCCCCAGCUCUUGUCCAGUGAAAGCGUGAACCUGCGGAUCGCUGCUGGCGAGACCAUCGCACUGCUCUUUGAACUCACCCGGGACCUAGAGGACUUUAUUUACCAGGACAUGGAAGCCCUCUGCAGUGCGCUGCGCACUCUGGCCACUGACAGCAACAAGUACCGAGCCAAGGCUGACCGCCGGCGUCAGCGCUCUACCUUCCGUGCAGUGCUGCGCUUUGUUGAGGGCGGCGAGUGUGAGGAGGAGACAGUCCGCUUUGGGCUCGAGGUGCUCUAUGUGGACAGCUGGGCUCGGCGCCGGAUCUACGCCGCCUUCAAGGAUGUGCUGGGUUCCGGCCUGCACCAUCACCUCCAGAACAAUGAGCUACUCCGUGACAUCUUUGGCCUGGGUCCUGUGCUGGUGCUGGAUGCCACUGCCCUGAAGGCCUGCAAGAUUUCACGUUUUGAGAAGCACCUGUACAACGCUGCUGCCUUCAAAGCUCGGACCAAGGCGCGCAGCCGUGUGCGGGACAAGCGGGCAGACAUCCUGUGAGCCCUUCACUGCCUCAACCUCUUGGUCCCGCUGGCUUCCUGCACCCUCCCUACCACUAAGGUAGACAGCCAGGACGGCGAGUGCCAGGCAGGUGAGCACCAGCAGCGCGAGCAGCAGCAGAAAGGCCCCUCGGCUGUGCACAGAGCUGCAGCUGGUCUGCGUGCACAGUGAUGGCGGCAGGAUGCCCAGCAGCUCAUCCCAUGGCUGCGCCUCCUCGGCCAGAACAGUACCUCAACCUUCAGGAUUUGCCUGACGCUGGCCCUUGACAUGCUCAAAAUUUGUGUCUUCCAGGCUCCAACAGCUGCAAGUAACUCUCACAAUGGUGUUGCCAGAGCCGCUCCAGGUCCUUGCUCACAACCCUCCAACCCUACUUUUAGCAGCAGUGUCCUUGCUCAACACCUGCCAACACCCCCUUCCUUUAGCAGCAGUGAACAUCAUCUUUAAAUUAAAGGAUCCAGUGACAAGAAAGGAAGCUACACACACACCCCUGCCCCCAGAUGGAACCAGCUGGGACCAAGAUGUCAAUGAAUCUGACCUCCAAAAGACUGAGUCUCAUUACAUGAUUUCACUAUAUAUUUGCAUAUUAAAUGACACACCUACUGGCAGCCAAGACUGGAUAUUAAGGACCAAAAAAGGACAAAACGGGGUUGCACUGCACUUGCUGGAAAAAGCCCUGCCCCUUCCCCAGGAAACUUAGUUCAUACGCCUCCCCAUCAUUAGCCUCAGUCCUCCAUUUGUCUUUACUCUUUAAAUUAAAUCACUCUGCCAGGUGGGUGAGAAGUUGAUCUGUGAACUUAGUUUCCUCUUCUCCAUUCUUUAGCCAUUGAAUAAAGCUUGUGAUGUGCUGAUCUCA